GCCAGCAUGGCUCAGUGGUUGAGCAUUGACCUGUGAAUCAGGGGGUCAAGGUUCAAUUCCUGGUCAGGGCA
rnacentral:tRNA from 1 species